UUAAACUGUUCCAUAAUUGGAUACCAGAAUAUUCUUGUCUGCCUGCAAUAAUUGCAUUUGAUAAGCAUUCUUUUCCGAUACGCUUUCUUUUCUAAUAUGUAGUCACAUUCUCAUUUAACUGAUCAAUUUUAUACUUAUACCCAAUCUUAUCAUCUUAGCUCACAAUUAAAUCUUUAAACAAAUUAUUUGACCUAACAUUCAAACAAAAAUUAACACUUCUUUGCAGGCGGCGACAACAUCAAAACAUGACCACUCUGUACAGUGAUUUAACCAAAACAAACAUUGUCAUAUGUUUUCUGGU
rnacentral:lncRNA from 1 species